rnacentral:lncRNA from 1 species
ACAUGGUAAAAGAAUCGCAACCGGGAAAUCAUCCUGAUUUAUCAACGGAUCCUGCAGUCUCUCCGAGACACAAACCAGGGUUUUACGCAAUUCUCCUAUGCACUCGAGCUAUGUCAAUAGGCUGUUUUACCUCUUUGUCCUUCAUUACACGGUUGAUUUCCCAGUUGCAAUUCUUUUACCAUGUUGUAGCUCAGUCGAUUAAGGCAGCGGUCUGGGAUCCUCUCGGACGUAGGUUCGAACCAUCGUCACGGCCCUUGUGGAUUUGUUCAUGUUAUUUAUAUCUUUUUAGUAACUGUAGUUCAAAAUUUAUAUAUAAUCCAAGAACUGCAUAGUAUUUGCUGGGUUUUGUAGGUUAAAAAAAAAAACAUAAGUGAAAACUUUUUGGAAAGAGGGCAAAAUAUACUGUAUUUGUCUUUAUGGGAAACAAUGUGGCUAUGCAGACUGUACGUCUCAAUAAUAUGUUUGAAAACUAGACACCCAACUCUCAUAUUUGAAGAGAAAGGAAACAAGUGAUGACACUGGUCUGUCCUGAGCCAUUAUAAAGUCUACCGAAACGUUGUCACUUCCUUUCUUUUUAGAUGUGUGGGUUGGGUGUCCGUGCCUAGUUUUGUUCAUUGUUCCUUGAUGAAGCGGCUGCAACUUGGCAUUAUUAGUUCUUAUUAAAAAUUAAUAGUUCUCUGAAUUGAGAACCUUCUUAAUUUAGGCUAGCAUAUAGGUCAGUGAAAGGUUUUGUUCAUAAAUGUUAUUUUAUUUUUGAAUUGUUAUUUUACUGAUAUUCCUCACCAUGUUCCGUUUGAAUAUCCAACAUGAAAAGGCUUUUUUUAGGCACACUUUGACUAACCUUCUCCCAAAUUGGGCAGAACUUUUAGAAACUAAAUACUGUGUUACACCACAAUUUAUAAAAAUGAACAGCAUUAAUUAAGGUAAAUGCAUUGGUAGGCUAGGAAACUUGUGUAAUCAAAGAACUGUGAUCUGUUAAGCAAAUCCCGAAAAAGGUCAGGUCUUUGAGUAUGGGAUGCUGUAGAGUUCAUUAUUACAAAACUAAAGUAUGUGUCGAAGGAGUGGGCACAAUAUCCAAGAGUGGUGUCGGCUCGACGUUAAUUUAACAUUAUUCGGUGUUGAAUUGGCUCUUGGAUAUUGUGCCUACUGGGUUGCAGUGUAUAUGUCAGGAGACUUGUCAGUUAUAUGGGUCAAUAGGCACUUAUUUAUACCACACUUGUAGUGUACAUCAAGAUGCUCAUCACUUAUCUGUUCCAUGUUCACUUAGUCUGUGCUAAACAAAAACAUGCAAUAGAACACUAUACAAUUCAAGUAUAUCAAUUAUACUUAAAUCUUGAAGCAUUUACUUGUACUUCCUUUAUUUUUCUCAGGGUUUUAGUUUCACACACACACACACACACACACACUGUAUAUCCUAUGGUGUGAAAAUGGUUGAAAUUAAUUUUGUUGUUUUGAUAAAACAGAUUUUUUGAUUGUGCAAGUUUUCUACCCCAUGCCUCCCAAGAAAUGUUUUGCCUCUGUCCUAAUCAUCAUUGUGUUCUGGCAUAUUCAUUUCAUUCGUUUUAUUUUCAUAGUUAUUUCAUAAUGCAAUUAAUUCCUUAGUUUUUAAAUUACUUUUGAAAUGAUUUUUUUAAUUGUUUUGAAUUUUUUCACUGAAUGAGAUGUUGAAUCAAAUUGUGUAACGGAAAUGUGUUUCACUGGAUUUUGGAAUAAAAAUAAGUUUGAAGUGCUUGUAAAAUUUCAGAUCCAGAUUGUUUUCAAAUAAUAAUUGCACAUAUGGAUGAGAAAGUAUAAAUGUAUCAACUAUCAACCUCAAUGGUUGUUCAGAGCACAACCAUCUAUAUUCUUCUUGAAUUCUUAUACAGUAUCAUUUAGAAUUUAGAGUUCUCAUACAGUAUCAUUUACAAUAGUCGCAAGGGCAUUGUCAUGAAAUAGUUAUGUGCCUUUAAGAUCCUGGUAAAUCCAUGCAGUCUGUCAUGUAUAAGUAUUACUUAUUAGACUAUUAGACUAAGUUAGGCAACCAUGGUAAAUCCAGUGUGUCAGGACACUGAAGCAAGACAAAGUUGAUUCAUAUAAAUGGGAUUUCUUGUGUCUUUGUUUAUGUACAUGAGUAUAGUUCCCCAUAUCUUCACUACAACUACAUUUAAGUAUUUCAAACAUAAAUUGGACAGUAGAGUGGCGGGAUGAUUGUUUGUUGAGAGCACAAAGUGCUGGCAAUGAUGUAGAGAAACACCAAGGUUUGAAUGUACUGUUUUUUUUUUUUUUUUUUUUUACUUAAAUUUACACAGUGUACUUUGAUAUUGGUGUUACUCUGUUGGGUAGUGAUUGUAUGGAACUGGUAGUCGUGUAGUCUUGAUAAUCUCGGAGGAGAGGUUAGGUUCAUUACACACACGCUGGUCAGGUUCAUUCAGCAUUAGUGUAUAACCGAGUGUUUGGUCACCUUUAAUUUAGUUUAACACUCGGAUACAUUUAAUAAAUAGGGUUGCAUCUUGGGAAUGAACAGGGCAAUAACAUGCUUUGAAGAUGGACAGUGUGUCUAAACAUGGAGGUGACCACUAAUUUAGGUUAAGCUAGUUUGUGGUGUAUAAUCUCAAAUCCACUAUUCAUUGGUAAUUUAUAUCACUUUGUGGUGCAGCUUUAAACUUAAGAAUGGGUGCCCAAUUGAGUCAAUACCACCUUGGUCUUGCACUGCGCUAUGAGUGAAGUGACAACCUGAUCCUACUAAGGGGCACCAACCUUUAACUCUCUCCCAUUCCUCUUAAAAAAAAAAAAUGAAUGGUAGAGAGAGAUUUCCUGGUCUAUUAGGAAGUCUUCACUAUUCACUUCUGUUUGCUUUUCCUAGCUGUCUAAAUUGCAUAUCCAUCCAUUGUUCCUGUUAAUUUUUUGUAUUAACAAAAUCAUUAUCAGCGAUAAUCAAGUCAUAAGGCAGUAUUGCUUUUAAAUUAAUCUAAUGAGAUUUUGUGGUUUUCCUGAAUGUUUUGAAAGAAAUACUGUAUGUGAAUGUGUGUACAUUUUAGUACAAGUUAUACAGAUUUAAUUUUCUUGUUUAUGCUACUGUAAUAUUCAAGACUAAAAUAUAUUCUGGUAUAUUUAUUUUUAUUACAUCUGGUUUAAAUAAUUGAAUGUGUAAAUAUUUUAAUACAUUUUUCAAUUGAGUUUACCAAAAAUAAAAAAGUUACUUCUUUAUGUAUAUAACAGAUUGCAGGGAUAUGAUGCAGCUGUUAUUUGUGUUGAUUAAGGUACCAUAACUGAAUACUGAUUAAGGUACCAUAACUGAAUACUGAUUAAGGUACCAUAACUGAAUACUGUAUACAGUUACCACUGUUUACAAGUCCGUAAAACCUGAUAUUAAGAGACCUUGAUAUUUUACGAGCUUCUUAUGCAACUAAUUGUUUUCAUUUGGUUACUCAAAUUGAUGAUAAAUCUGGGUUUGUAAGCUUUUGUUUAUACAUUUUUGCUAUAUAGCUGAAGAUAUGAGAUUGAGCAGCUUCUUGCGUAAUCAUCUUGUUAUAAUCUUUGUAGCUUAUUUCUUACUGUAUUUUAAAGCAGUUGUUUGAAAAUAACUAUAUUUUGGAGUGUGGCAGCUGCGUAUUACGUGUGGCAUGUUAUUCUUGUUUGGUAAUUUAUCAGCAUCCCUGGUGUUCAGUCGGGUAUAGAUGCAUAUAUGGAACAUACCUGUACAUGAUAUAAGGUGUUACCAUCUUGCAUUACUAUAGUUCAUUUAUGUUUAUUAUGGUGUGCUACAGAUUUGCUCUAACAUACUGUAAUUGUAAUAUUUUGGUGGGUAUUUAUGAACUAAAGAUAUUUAUAAAAAAUAAGUAUUUGGAGUCUGUGGAUAGUAUUCAUUAAUUACUAGUAUAAUUUUGAACUUGUACUGAUUAUUAAUAAGAAAAUAAAAAGGUAUGUAUGGUGAUCUUAAAGAUCCUCUUGACUGUAAUACAUACUAGGUCAAAAGGCCCAAAAUUAACCUUUAUUAAUGUAUUUCAAUAUUAGGUGCCGUAAUACUGUAUAAUGAAACUGAAAGAUCUGAUAAUAAAAAAGUAUUUAACAGA